GUGAAUGAUCAUUAGCAGUCCGCUUCCUAAGGAUGGAAGAGGCCCUAGUGGCCAGUGCAGCAUGCAUAGGGUUAGGGCACUGCCACCUACUUUGUGGCAUCUAACCAUGUGUGGAU
rnacentral:ncRNA from 1 species